rnacentral:rRNA from 1 species
AACGAACGCUGGCGGCAUGCCUAACACAUGCCAGUCGAACGAGACCUUCGGGUCUAGUGGCGCACGGGUGCGUAACGCGUGGGAACCUGCCCUUAGGUUCGGAAUAACUCCCCGAAAGGGGUGCUAAUACCGGAUAAUGUCUUCGGACCAAAGAUUUAUCGCCUUUGGAUGGGCCCGCGUUGGAUUAGCUAGUUGGUAGGGUAAAAGCCUACCAAGGCGACGAUCCAUAGCUGGUCUGAGAGGAUGAUCAGCCACACUGGGACUGAGACACGGCCCAGACUCCUACGGGAGGCAGCAGUGGGGAAUAUUGGACAAUGGGCGAAAGUCUGAUCCAGCAAUGCCGCGUGAGUGAUGAAGGCCUUAGGGUUGUAAAGCUCUUUUACCCGGGAUGAUAAUGACAGUACCGGGAGAAUAAGCUCCGGCUAACUCCGUG